UACAGGGGGCUCGAGCGUUAGUCGGAAUCACUGGGCUUAAAGGGUGCGUAGGCGGCUCGUCAAGUGCUUUGUGAAAUCCCCGGGCUCAACCCGGGAACAGCAGGGCAAACUGACGAGCUUGAAGCAGGUAGGGGCCGACAGAACAGUAGGUGGAGCGGUGAAAUGCGUAGAUAUCUACUGGAAUGCCGAUGGGGAAGCCGGUCGGCUGGGCCUGUCUUGACGCUGAGGCACGAAAGCGUGGGGAGCAAACAGG
rnacentral:rRNA from 1 species